rnacentral:rRNA from 1 species
UACGUAGGGGCCAAGCGUUGUCCGGAUUUAUUGGGCGUAAAGAGCUCGUAGGCGGUUCGGCAAGUCAGCUGUGAAAUCUCCACGCUCAACGUGGAGGGGUCAGCUGAUACUGCUGUGACUCGAGUCCGGUAGGGGAGUGUGGAAUUCCCGGUGUAGCGGUGAAAUUCGUAGAUAUCGGGAGGAACACCGGUGGCGAAGGCGGCGAUCUGGGUCGAUACUGACGCUGAGGUGCGAAAGCGUGGGGAGCAAACAGG